rfam:Triticum aestivum genome assembly, contig: Triticum_aestivum_CS42_TGACv1_scaffold_513929_6BS
AUACUAUUCCCUCCGUCCAGAAAUACUUGUCAUCAAAGUGAAUAAAAGGGGAUGUAUCUAGAAGUAGAUGUAUUUUAGUUCUAGAUACAUCCCUUUUUGUCCAUUUUGAUCACAAGUAUUUUCGGACGGUGGGAGUAUACA